rnacentral:lncRNA from 1 species
CUCGUCCACGCGUUCACUUUCACCGCCUCGCGGCAAAGAAGAGAGAGCUGGCUUCUGGGUUACGAAUGCGCCGCUCGGCCGCGAACACCACGACGCGCAUUUGUUGAGAGGCGGCCUGUACGGACCACCAUCGAUGGCGUUCCUCGCGCCGCCGCGGUUCAAGUGUCCACCUUCCACCCGCGCGGCGGUGUUCAGGGAGCCCGCCGGCGGCGCAGGCUCCCGCCCCGGUCGGGUAAACUGCUCCGUGUCCUCCACCGCAGUCGUCGAUGCAGAGCGCCUCGAGUGCUUAUCCGUCGGGCCGCCGCCUUCUCCUCAUCCAACCCUUCCGGUAACGUCUAUCUCCGUCUCGUCUGGCCCAGCUGUAGCUGCAAAUUUCAAUACGGCUCGGAGUCUCGGACUGGGGCAUUUCUGAAUUGUUCGUCUCAUCUUUCCUUCGAAUGCCGCAACCAGGGGGGUUUCGGUGAGGCGAUUCUCAACAAGGAGGCCAUGGUGGCGGCCGCGGCCGCGGAGGCCGUCGCUCUGGCUCGAGCGGCGGCCGAGGUCGCCGGAGAAGUUGCCCGG